rnacentral:rRNA from 1 species
CAGCGCUAAUGACGCGUCUCACCUGAUGAGUAUGGGGCUGGUGAGUGCAGACGCACAACCCCUGACCACACGCUUCGGAAUGGACCCUC